GACUGGAUAGCUCAGUUGUUUAGAGUGUGGCACUGAGAAUGCCAAGGUUGCAGGUUUGAUCCCCGUAUGGGACG